AAGACUAUACUUUCAGAGAUGAUUUUUAUCAUUUGUUACUAGAGAAGUUUCUCUGAACAUGUAGAGUGCCUGAAACUAUGAGGAGGGGGUGCAGUGUUUCUUCCUGAAUGUAAAGCUCACUCUUGGUGUUGUCUCUGCAGCUGCCCUUGGUCAUUGAUAAUCAUUCUUCUCCUCCUUUGGGGAAGUAAGAAGGAAAGGACACCAUCGGAGUGGU